rnacentral:rRNA from 1 species
UAAAGCGAUUCAGCGGGUUACGAUUGACGGAGCGAAGCGACGUCAAAGCGUAUACAAAGUCGAGUCGGUUUAAGGAUACGUUCGUUGGGUAGGGGAGCGUUCUGUAAGCCUGUGAAGGUGGCCUGUGAGGGUUGCUGGAGGUAUCAGAAGUGCGAAUGCUGACAUAAGUAACGAUAAAGCGGGUGAAAAGCCCGCUCGCCGGAAGACCAAGGGUUCCUGUCCAACGUUAAUCGGGGCAGGGUGAGUCGACCCCUAAGGCGAGGCCGAAAGGCGUAGUCGAUGGGAAACGGGUUAAUAUUCCCGUACUUGGUGUUACUGCGAAGGGGGGACGGAGAAGGCUAUGUUGGCCGGGCGACGGUUGUCCCGGUUUAAGCGUGUAGGUGUGUGUUCCAGGUAAAUCCGGUUCACUUUAACACUGAGGCGUGACGACGAGGCACUACGGUGCUGAAGCAACAAAUGCCCUGCUUCCAGGAAAAGCCUCUAAGCAUCAGGUAACAUCAAAUCGUACCCCAAACCGACACAGGUGGUCAGGUAGAGAAUACCAAGGCGCUUGAGAGAACUCGGGUGAAGGAACUAGGCAAAAUGGUGCCGUAACUUCGGGAGAAGGCACGCUGAUAUGUAGGUGAAGCGGUUUACCCGUGGAGCUGAAAUCAGUCGAAGAUACCAGCUGGCUGCAACUGUUUAUUAAAAACACAGCACUGUGCAAACACGAAAGUGGACGUAUACGGUGUGACGCCUGCCCGGUGCCGGAAGGUUAAUUGAUGGGGUCAGCGCAAGCGAAGCUCCUGAUCGAAGCCCCGGUAAACGGCGGCCGUAACUAUAACGGUCCUAAGGUAGCGAAAUUCCUUGUCGGGUAAGUUCCGACCUGCACGAAUGGCGUAAUGAUGGCCAGGCUGUCUCCACCCGAGACUCAGUGAAAUUGAACUCGCUGUGAAGAUGCAGUGUACCCGCGGCAAGACGGAAAGACCCCGUGAACCUUUACUAUAGCUUGACACUGAACAUUGAGCCUUGAUGUGUAGGAUAGGUGGGAGGCUUUGAAGCGUGGACGCCAGUCUGCGUGGAGCCGACCUUGAAAUACCACCCUUUAAUGUUUGAUGUUCUAACGUGGACCCGUAAUCCGGGUUGCGGACAGUGUCUGGUGGGUAGUUUGACUGGGGCGGUCUCCUCCUAAAGAGUAACGGAGGAGCACGAAGGUUGGCUAAUCCUGGUCGGACAUCAGGAGGUUAGUGCAAUGGCAUAAGCCAGCUUGACUGCGAGCGUGACGGCGCGAGCAGGUGCGAAAGCAGGUCAUAGUGAUCCGGUGGUUCUGAAUGGAAGGGCCAUCGCUCAACGGAUAAAAGGUACUCCGGGGAUAACAGGCUGAUACCGCCCAAGAGUUCAUAUCGACGGCGGUGUUUGGCACCUCGAUGUCGGCUCAUCACAUCCUGGGGCUGAAGUAGGUCCCAAGGGUAUGGCUGUUCGCCAUUUAAAGUGGUACGCGAGCUGGGUUUAGAACGUCGUGAGACAGUUCGGUCCCUAUCUGCCGUGGGCGCUGGAGAACUGAGGGGGGCUGCUCCUAGUACGAGAGGACCGGAGUGGACGCAUCACUGGUGUUCGGGUUGUCAUGCCAAUGGCACUGCCCGGUAGCUAAAUGCGGAAGAGAUAAGUGCUGAAAGCAUCUAAGCACGAAACUUGCCCCGA